rnacentral:rRNA from 1 species
AUUGAACGCUGGCGGCAGGCCUAACACAUGCAAGUCGAGCGGAGCGGGGGACGGGUGAGUAAGGCAUAGGUAUGUGACUGGCAGUGGGGGGUGACGUCCGGAAACGGACGCUAAUACAGCAUACUAUCAGCUGAGCCUGGGUCGGAGUAGCUAGUUGGUGGGGUAGAGGCCAACCAAGGCGACGAUCCGUACCUGGUCUGAGAGGAUGAUCAGCCACACUGGAACUGAGACACGGUCCAUACUCCUACGGGAGGCAGCAGUGGGGAAUAUUGGACAAUGGGCGAAAGCCUGAUCCAGCCAUGCCGCGUGUGUGAAGAAGGUCUUCGGAUUGUAAAGCACUUUAAGUUGGGAGGCGUUACCAACAGAAUAAGCACCGGCUAACUACGUGCCAGCAGCCGCGGUAAUAC